AAGGUUCGAAGGCGAUCAGAUACCGCCCUAGUUCUUACCAUAAACGAUGCCAGCCAGCGAUCCGGCUGUGUUCCUCAAAUGACACGCCGGGCAGCUUCCGGGAAACCAAAGCUUUUGGGUUCCGGGGGAAGUAUGGUUGCAAAGCUGAAACUUAAAGGAAUUGACGGAAGGGCACUACAAGGUGUGGAGCCUGCGGCUUAAUUUGACUCAACACGGGUAAACUCACCCGGCCCGGACACAGGAAGGAUUGACAGAUUGAGAGCUCUUUCUUGAUUCUGUGGGUGGUGGUGCAUGGCCGCUCUUAGUUGGUGGAGCGAUUUGUCUGGUUUAUUCCGAUAACGAACGAGACUCUAGCCUACUAAAUAGACGUUCCGAUCCUCCGAGUCGGACGUUCUUCUUAGAGGGACGGGCGGCGACUAGCCGCACGAAACAGAGCAAUAGCAGGUCUGUGAUGCCCUUUGAUGUCCGGGGCCGCACGCGCGCUACAUUGAAGGAAUCAGCGUGUGCUUUCCCUGUCCGACAGGACUGGGUAACCCGUUGAACCUCCUUCGUGCUGGGGAUAGCAAAUUGUAAUUAUUUUGCUUGAACGAGGAACACCCAGUAAGCACGAGUCAUCAGCUCGUGCUGACUAUGUCCCUGGCCUUUGUGCACACCGCCCGUCGCUACUACCGAUUGAAUGAUUUAGUGAGGUCUUCGGACUGGCGCUCGGAUUGGCUUUCGGGUCGAGCCGACUUGCCGGAAAGAUGACCAAACUUGAUCAUUUAGAGGAAGUA
rnacentral:rRNA from 1 species